CCCCAGACUCCUAGGGAGGCAGCAGUGAGGAAUAUUGGUCAAUGGGCGGAAGCCUGAACCAGCCAAGUCGCGUGAGGGAUUAAGGCCCUGCGGGUCGUAAACCUCUUUUGCCGGGGAGCAGUGGUCCGGACGCGUCCGGACCGGGAGAGUACCCGGAGAAAAAGCAUCGGCUAACUCCGUGCCAGCAGCCGCGGUAAUACGGAGGAUGCGAGCGUUAUCCGGAUUUAUUGGGUUUAAAGGGUGCGUAGGCGGGCAUUUAAGCCGGCGGUCAAAUGUCGGGGCUCAACCCCGCCCAGCCGUCGGAACUGCCGGGCUAGAGUGGGCGAGAAGUGCGCGGAAUGCGUGGUGUAGCGGUGAAAUGCAUAGAUAUCGCGCAGAACUCCGAUUGCGAAGGCAGCAUGCCGGCUCCACACUGACGCUGAGGCACGAAAGCGUGGGUAUCGAACAGGAUUAGAUACCCCGGUAUC
rnacentral:rRNA from 1 species